AUUGAACGCUGGCGGCAGGCCUAACACAUGCAAGUCGAGCGGUAGAGAGGUGCUUGCAUCUCUUGAGAGCGGCGGACGGGUGAGUAAUGCCUAGGAAUCUGCCUAGUGUGGGGGAUAACGUUCGGAAACGGACGCUAAUACCGCAUACGUCCUACGGGAGAAAGCGGGGGAUCUUCGGACCUCGCGCCAUUAGAUGAGCCUAGGUCGGAUUAGCUAGUUGGUGAGGUAAUGGCUCACCAAGGCGACGAUCCGUAACUGGUCUGAGAGGAUGAUCAGUCACACUGGAACUGAGACACGGUCCAGACUCCUACGGGAGGCAGCAGUGGGGAAUA
rnacentral:rRNA from 1 species